rnacentral:rRNA from 1 species
UAGGGAAUUUUGCGCAAUGGGCGAAAGCCUGACGCAGCAACACCGCGUGUAGGAUGAAGGAUUUCGGUCUGUAAACUACUGUCAGCAGGGAAUAAUUAUGACUGUACCUGCAGAGGAAGCACCGGCUAACUACGUGCCAGCAGCCGCGGUAAGACGUAGGGUGCAAGCGUUGUCCGGAAUUAUUGGGCGUAAAGAGUUCGUAGGCAGUUACUUAAGUCUGGUGUUAAAGACGGGAGCUCAACUCCCGCAUGGCAUUGGAAACUGGGUGGCUAGAGUACGGUAGAGGUAUCGGGAAUUCCAGGUGUAGCGGUGAAAUGCGUAGAUAUCUGGAGGAACACCGGUGGCGAAAGCGCGAUACUGGGCCGUAACUGACGCUGAGGAACGAAAGCCAGGGGAGCGAAAGG